rnacentral:piRNA from 1 species
AGCGUCAGGUCCCAAUGGGUGG